UGGGGAAUAUUGCACAAUGGGCGCAAGCCUGAUGCAGCCAUGCCGCGUGUGUGAAGAAGGCCUUCGGGUUGUAAAGUACUUUCAGCGGGGAGGAAGGGAGUAAAGUUAAAACCUUUGCUCAUUGACGUUACCCGCAGAAGAAGCACCGGCUAACUCCGUGCCAGCAGCCGCGGUAAUACGGAGGGUGCAAGCGUUAAUCGGAAUUACUGGGCGUAAAGCGCACGCAGGCGGUUUGUUAAGUCAGAUGUGAAAUCCUCGGGCUCAACCUGGGAACUGCAUCUGAUACUGGCAAGCUUGAGUCUCGUAGAGGGGGGUAGAAUUCCAGGUGUAGCGGUGAAAUGCGUAGAGAUCUGGAGGAAUACCGGUGGCGAAGGCGGCCCCCUGGACGAAGACUGACGCUCAGGUGCGAAAGCGUGGGGAGCAAACAGG
rnacentral:rRNA from 1 species